rnacentral:rRNA from 1 species
UACGAAGGGGGCUAGCGUUGCUCGGAAUCACUGGGCGUAAAGGGCGCGUAGGCGGACUCUUAAGUCAGGGGUGAAAGCCUGAGGCUCAACCUCAGAACUGCCUUUGAUACUGAGAGUCUCGAGACCGGUAGAGGUAAGUGGAACUGCGAGUGUAGAGGUGAAAUUCGUAGAUAUCGCAAGAACACCCGUGGCGAAGGCGGCGUGCUGGGUUGCAACUGACGCUGAGAUGCGAAAGUGUGGGGAGCAAACGGG